UACGGAGGGGGCAAGCGUUGUUCGGAAUUACUGGGCGUAAAGCGCACGUAGGCGGUUUUGUAAGUCUGGGGUCAAAGGCGACAGCUCAACUGUCGUAAGGCCUUAGAUACUAUCGCGCUAGAGUACCAGAGAGGAUGGCGGAAUUCCCGGUGUAGCGGUGAAAUGCGUAGAUAUCUGGAGGAACACCGGUGGCGAAAGCGGCUCUCUGGCUGGUAACUGACGCUGAGGUGCGAGAGCGUAGGGAGCAAACAGG
rnacentral:rRNA from 1 species